CCUACGGGUGGCUGCAGUGAGGAAUAUUGGUCAAUGGACGCAAGUCUGAACCAGCCAUGUCGCGUGAAGGAUGACUGCUCUAUGAGUUGUAAACUUCUUUUAUAUGGGCAUAAAACAGGGUAUGCAUACCUUCUUGUAUGUACCCUAUGAAUAAGGAUCGGCUAACUCCGUGCCAGCAGCCGCGGUAAUACGGAGGAUCCGAGCGUUAUCCGGAUUUAUUGGGUUUAAAGGGAGCGUAGGUGGAUGGUUAAGUCAGUGGUGAAAGUUCGCGGCUCAACUGUGAAAUUGCAGUUGAAACUGGCAGGCUUGAGUAGAGUAGAGGUGGGCGGAAUUCGUGGUGUAGCGGUGAAAUGCUUAGAGAUCACGAAGAACUCCGAUUGCGAAGGCAGCUUACUGAGCUACUUCUGACACUGAGGCUCGAAAGCGUGGGGAGCAAACAGGAUUAGAUACCCGUGUAGUC
rnacentral:rRNA from 1 species